UACAGGGGGUGCUAGCGUUGUUCGGAAUUACUGGGCGUAAAGGGCGCGUAGGCGGGAUGGCAAGUCGGUCGUGAAAUCCCUCGGCUCAACCGAGGAACGUCGAUCGAUACUGCUGUUCUUGAGGAUUGCAGAGGAGACUGGAAUUCCCGGUGUAGCGGUGAAAUGUGUAGAGAUCGGGAGGAACACCGGUGGCGAAGGCGGGUCUCUGGGCAAUUCCUGACGCUGAGGCGCGAAAGCGUGGGGAGCAAACAGG
rnacentral:rRNA from 1 species